CCGAUAGUUCCCGAUCACAUCGUCCUCCUUCGAGAAUUGCACAGAUGUUGCCAGUUCAUCCGGCCGAAGCUGCGCCGUCGCGAGUUGAGAGUUUGCGGGCGGGAGUUGCUGAAAGAGUUUGAAAGUAGAUGUUCUUGAUCAGGUUCGUCGGAUAUCGCUCCAACCUCUGGAAGUAAUCCGAGUACGACAUCUUCAGGACCUGCGGCUUUCGUACAGACGGUUCAUCCAGAACUGGUGCAAACUGUUCUUCCGGAUGUUUAUGUAAUACUCGUCAAACAUGUCCCGCACCGAGAAAUGGACUGCGGACCCUCAGGACAUCCCACACUGUCCCGUCAUCACUUCCGGCACAUAAUGCUGCUGAUGGUCGUAAACCGCCGGCACCGAGUGCAACAUCCGCGCUGACCACCUCCGAUCGCUUCUCGUCGUUUCCCUCUUCCGUCGGAUCCUUCUCCUCACCGUUAAAAUUAACUUUAUCGAAUACAACCGGUGCAAAUUCA